UACGGAGGGUGCGAGCGUUGUUCGGAAUUACUGGGCGUAAAGGGGGCGUAGGCGGUUUGUUAAGUCAAAUGUGAAAGUCCACGGCUUAACUGUGGAAGUGCAUUUGAGACUGGCAGGCUAGAGUUUCGGAAGGGAAAGUGGAAUUCCUGGUGUAGGAGUGAAAUCCGUAGAUAUCAGGAGGAAUACCGGUGGCGAAGGCGACUUCCUGGACCGAUACUGACGCUGAGGCGCGAAAGCGUGGGGAGCAAACAGG
rnacentral:rRNA from 1 species